GACGAACGCUGGCGGCGUGCUUAACACAUGCAAGUCGAACGGAAAGGCCCUGCUUUUGUGUGGUGCUCGAGUGGCGAACGGGUGAGUAACACGUGAGUAACCUGCCCUUGACUUUGGGAUAACUUCAGGAAACUGGGGCUAAUACCGGAUAGGAGCUCCUGCUGCAUGGUGGGGGUUGGAAAGUUUAGGCGGUGGGGGAUGGACUCGCGGCUUAUCAGCUUGUUGGUGGGGUAGUGGCUUACCAAGGCUUUGACGGGUAGCCGGCCUGAGAGGGUGACCGGCGACAUUGGGACUAAGAUACGGCGCAGACUCGUAUGGGAGGCAGCAGUCGGGAAUAUGGCACAAUGGGGGGAAGUCUGAUGCAGCAACGUCGCGUGCGGGAUGACGGCCUUCGGGGUGUAAACCGCUUUCGCCUGUGACGAAGCGUGAGUGACGGUAAUAGGUAAAGAAGCACCGGCUAACUACGUG
rnacentral:rRNA from 1 species